GGACUUGCUCACAAGGUUCUUCAAUGGUAUUUAUGCAGGAUGGAAGGAUGGUUUUCUGCUGAUGCCAACACUAUCUCACUUAAAGGCUGGGAUCAGGAAGAACUACUCCCUGGUGGGCAUGGACUUAUGGUCAGGGGCUACCUACCUGUUAUUCACACACUAGCUAAGGGUAUUGACAUCCGCCUAGGUCAUAGGGUUACAAAAAUUUCGAGACAAUAUACUGGAGUGAAGAUAACAGUAGAAAAUGGAAAAACAUUCACAGCUGAUGCUGCUAUUGUUGCUGUUCCUCUUGGGGUGCUUAAAGCAAAAGUCAUUAAGUUUGAG
rnacentral:misc_RNA from 1 species